GAUGAACGCUGGCGGCGUGCCUAAUACAUGCCAGUCGAGCGAACGGACGAGAAGCUUGCUUCUCUGAUGUUAGCGGCGGACGGGUGAGUAACACGUGGAUAACCUACCUAUAAGACUGGGAUAACUUCGGGAAACCGUAGCUAAUACCGGAUAAUAUUUUGAACCGCAUGGUUCAAAAGUGAAAGACGGUCUUGCUGUCACUUAUAGAUGGAUCCGCGCUGCAUUAGCUAGUUGGUAAGGUAACAGCUUACCAAGGCAACGAUGCAUAGCCGACCUGAGAGGGUGAUCGGCCACACUGGAACUGAGACACGGUCCAGACUCCUACGGGAGGCAGCAGUAGGGAAUCUUCCGCAAUGGGCGAAAGCCUGACGGAGCAACGCCGCGUGAGUGAUGAAGGUCUUCGGAUCGUAAAACUCUGUUAUUAGGGAAGAACAUAUGUGUAAGUAACUGUGCACAUCUUGACGGUACCUAAUCAGAAAGCCACGGCUAACUACGUG
rnacentral:rRNA from 1 species